GGGCUGUUCCGGGCCGCCGGGGAGGAAACGGGGCAGCCCCGGCCACCGGUGGCACAGCGCCUCGCGGCGCCGUGUGGUGAGGCGUCAGCGGGGACGUGAGGGCAGAGCCGGCGGCAGAGUAAAACUUUGAACAUCCCAGAGAAGCUGGCUCAUGCAAGGCAAGUGGAAAAGCCAAUGGCACGUUUGUCGGUCUGACUGCCCUUCAUGUGACUGUUCUGCCAAGAGUUUGAUACGCAUGGCAGGAAUUUCCUUGCCAGCCAACCCCCCACAACGGUUUACAGCUGUUAAUCUUCCAGCUUAGACCAUGGGUUCUGUUUGGGAAGAACUGUAUGAUGACAGAACAACUGCUAGUGAUGUACUCACCUUCUUGCCACAGAGAACUGCUACUCCACCAUUUUCUACAAAAGGCAGAUCGCGAGCAGGCACAUAAAAUGACGGCGGCUGGAAAUAUAUGCUGAAAAAAGCUCAAUUAUCAAAUGAGUUCCAGUUUCUCUCUGACACCAGCUAUCUGGAAAUUACCAAUGAUAUGAAGACAACUCUGUGCAACCAUAACAAGCUCCAGAAUUUAUUUAUUUUUAAAAACUACCAGCUUCACACUGUUAAGUUCAUGUAUUUACUUCACUAAGGGUUUAGAUCAUAAAUGUCACAAGGAUCCAGUGGGAUCCUAGGUUCCUAGAGCUCUGCUCUGAACUGUGAAGCUAUACCCUCACCUUUACUAUUAACUUAUUUCACAGGAUUUCUCCCAGCGGCGUAUGAUUAAGGGAAUCACAGCAAGAUUCAAGUUACGUUCAGUACUAAGCUAACACAACGUACUAAGCAGCACACAUCUUGACAACUGCCAGCAUUGCCACGCCUUUCAGUCCAAUCCUUGCUGCUCAGCUGGCACCUCUGGAACAUCUCAACAUCUCCGAGAAGCCACUCUGCACAUGCCUGCAGCCUUUUAUUGCGGAGUCUCUUGGACUCCACAACUCAGAUGGUUCAGUGCAAAAUAUCACACAGGUUCUGCCCACAACAUGCCACGCUCUGGUCCUUCUUCAGUCAGUCUAGUGACAAUGAACAGAUCCAUGCACAACCCAGGGCUCUCUUCAUCACAGACAAACAUAAAAUCUACUCAGUGAUCUGUUUAAAAAGCAUUGCUGCUGUUCUUCAGAGCUCUCCAGUAGCUCUCUCACAAGAACAUUUUUAUCAUCAUAAACACUUUCAUAAACACUCUUCUUCGUCUUUGCUACCUAAGUGACAUACCUCCUCUCCUUGCCAUUCCACUGUUUGAAUCGCAGAGUCUCCGUCACAUCUGGAUCAUCUGAAAACCACAGCUCUUUGGAAAGGGGUGGACGCAUGUAGGGCAAUGCAGGAUCUUCAGACACAAUCAGCACCUUUAAUUAGUCAUUAAACUUAUCAGUUGUAGUGAUGCAGGCAAUGCCAACACACGCUACAAUGGCUCCGAAGCAAGCAUGGUAUUCAGCCAUCCACACAACUCUGCUCUAGAAUAGGGCAUCUCUUACCCGGGCACCAGGGUCACGAGCCCGAAUGGACCGGGCAGCAGCAAAAGCAGCAGUUCCUCCACCAAUUAGCAGGAAAGGAACAUGAGAUGGGACCUCAGGGUGAGCUUCUGGAGCUGCAGGUAACAUAUUAGACAGUUUACUACAAAUACAGCAAUACAUACUGCCCAGAAGCAAAGAGCAGAGUACACCACCAGACGUCUUUCACAUACAGACUUCCUUCAUCAGACUGCCCUUCAAAUACUUCCUCCUCCCUUCCCUUCCAUCCCAAUAUAUUUCCCACGAACCAUGCUGCUGCUUCACUAAAAGCGGGCUCCCCGCAUAACUCAAACUGGUAUAUUUUAUCAAAUGGUUUUUCUAAGCUAGAUCUGCACAGCUGAGCUCAAUGACUACUGCAGAGUUUCAGAACAGGCCAGCAGCACAGCUUACAUCGUUUAGCUCUUCUAUUAUAGAUCUACUUUUCUCUGGUUUGAGAGUUUGGGAGGAGUAAGAAUGAUCUACAUAACAACUUUGAAAUACUAACAUUUGGACAGCCUGUUAAAUGCUUGUCCAACAGACUCUCAAAGAGCUUCUUUUACUAACUGCUCUAUUUAAGAACGCUGCUUACAUUUGCACAGCUCAGUGAAGAGGCUGCAAAGUCAAGACCCACGAAGUUUGUUUCUGGCAUUGAACAUGCAAUUUCAGAAGCUUCAGAUCUCACCAGGACAUUCUCUGUACAGUAUAUUCAGGAUAGCAAAAACAUGCUCAGCCUCUACUUUGGCCAAAUAUUGUACUAGAAAUCCAACAGUCAGGUUUUAUAGUAAAUCUGUUGAGUUAGCAAGAGAGCCAAAAAAAAAGCAUUCAAAACACCAGGCGAAAAGACCUCAGAGUUCUACAUGACAGGGUUGCCAUUCAAAUCAGCAACCAAUGUCAAAAUUAUUUGGGAAAUACAAUCUGCUGAGUGUUUGAUCUAGCUCUAUUUCCUCAUUACCUUUAUGGACAUAAAUCAAGACCAAAACUCUGCACUGGCCAAUCAGUGGACCGUUUAUAAGAAAACAAAAUUCUCAAAACCAUACCAGAAAUCCUAAGGUAUAUUCUCCUUUAACUGCAUUCCAAAAAGAGACCAGCUUUUGAGUUCGUACCAGACUAGAUUUCCUCUCACACGCAGGUACUGUUUCUAAAUAACAUGCGGUUAGAUUGUAUGGAGGAAUAAGUCAAAUAUUACCAUUAAGACCUCACCUGCUGAGUCCCGAGAAGCAGCACCUGUAUGUGAAAAAAAGACAACACUGACUUAAUGCAGCAAAACACAAUCUAACAAGGAUAACUUUAGGAAGCUGCAGUUCAGAGCUGAUUCAAGGAGACCAGGUUAUUAACAGGCUCUUCAUCAUAAAGGGGCAGAGUCUCCAGAAACAUUGACUUACCAGAUCUCUGCUUCAACAUCUAACCUCUCACUCUCUUUUCCGGCCUCAACCCUGAUAAACAUGUUUUAUCCUCUUCUUCAGACCAAAGCAAUUACUUUGCUGUCCUGUUUCCAGGAUAAUCUGUUGGUUUCAUAAUCAAGUGACAUAGAACAUCCCAUUUUCUAUGACCUAAAGCCACUCUUACUAUGAAAUACACCAUUCUUUGGCCCAACAGCUUGGACAGCGCAGCUUGAGAUCUUACGCUACAAAAGACCUUCAAGAAGUAACCUGUGGGCCACACAGACUGUAAGGCAUCAAGAGCUUCGCUAAUUGUCAAGAUUCCUCCAUUUACACAUGGCCCAAGCAUGGUACUCCUUGCAUCCCCGGCCUGUUAUGCAUGGAACAGGGACAUGGCACAGCACUGAGGAUUUAGUGUUGGCAGACCAUACUGUUCCCUUGGAAUGUCUUAGCCCAACCAGGUAAGGGUGAAAGCCCAAAGCAGGACCUUUUCUCUUUUUAUCACGGAAGGCGUAAACUGCAGAAAGAAACCCCGAGAGACACGCUACUUUUAUCUAUAAGGAUGUGUGUAAGGAUACUUCAUCUGUAAAAUAGAAGCUUGUUCUGCAUCAGGGAAGGCUAGCACCACAUUCCAUGCUGGGAAGACAAGUGAAUUCACAAAAAGAACAGAAUGCACUAAGAAGCAUCGAUGCUGUGAAGGUACAACUUACACUAAUCUGUGUUUUGAGAAGGGCUCUGUUCUAUUUGUUUUACGAGUCUCAAGUUAAGAGAUUAUGAAAAAUAAAUCUAAACGUAGAAAUAACAAGCUAGUACCCACCAGAAGGAGACGAUGCAUUUUCUUGGGAUCGUGCUGUUAUUGUUGUGACACGGCUGGUGAAUCGCUCUUUGU